CACCCCAUAAAAAAAUAAUCGUCAUAAAAUAUGUGCAAUCUUUGGUUGCAAAAGUCCUGAUUGUGUCAUAUACCACAAUUUUACAAAGAACAUGGUUCGACAGAGGAUUUGAAGGAAUCUUUGCAAGAGGAAAGAUACAUUUAAAGCAGAAAAUACACAAGUGUGUAGUAUGUACUUUAAUGAUGGAAGCUGCAAGAGGACCUGGAACAUGAGCUUCUUAUUUUGACUCCCAGAAAGAGGCUAAAAACAGAUGCAGUACCAAGUCUGCUACUUCCACUGUUCCUAACCCUGAGGAUCAAUGUGAUAAAAAGUUCCCGAAAAAUUUGCAUGAAUCAACAUCCUCUCAAACUCCCAGCAGUGUCGGUAAUCAAGGUGAAGAACAAGUAGAUUUUGUUUCCCCUCGUUCCAGGAGGGAAAUGAGGAGGCAGAACAAACAAAUAGUAACCAAUUUAUUGAUAAAGGAACCGGAGCAAAAGAAUAAGGAUAUUGGGAUACAGACAGAACAUUCCCUUUUUCUGGAAAAUACUGAUAAUCUCAAAGCAGAAUUAAAGAAAACGAAAGAAGAUUUAUGUAAACAAAAAGUCAAGGUAAACAUUCUCACAAAAAAACUCGAGCUGCUUAAAGCGAAGGAAAAGAAACACUCCAAAAUUGUAAGGACUCUUCAUGAUAAAUAUACUCCAGCUCAGGCUAAGAGAGUUUUAUUCCCUAAUCAAAAAUGGGUUCAUUACUCAAAAGAAGAUAUUGCCCCUGCCUUAAUAAUAAGAUCAAUGAGUAGACGGGCUUUUGAAUAUUUAAAUAUAUAUCUAAAUCAUACAAAUGCCAAGCAUUCGAACUCAAGAGAGAUAGCUUCAACAUUUUAAAAUGAAUCCAGGAUUUCAAGAUGAUAGCUUCAAAGUCUUUCAAGAAAUGAUCAAGACCAACAUAUUUCAAAUACAAGUUCUCUGUACUAUGCUUUGAUGAAUGUCAAAGCAAGAAAAAAUAUGAUAUUGACAUGAAGAUGCAAAAGAUUUAUGGGCCUCACUCUUAAGUUCAAGUUGUUAUGAUGAGAGGAUUAGUUGAGAAAUGGAAACAGCCGAUCUGGUUCCAUUUUGAUACCACUAUGACCAAGAAGCUGCUUAAUGAUAUCAUAAUCAAAAUGGAGAGCAAUAGUUUUGAAAUAAGACCAAUUGUUUGUGAUCUUGGGAACCACACGCUUCGUUCUGAACUUGGGAUUGACAAAGGAAACUUUUUCUUCACCAAUCCAUUUGAUUCCCGCAGAGUUGUCUACAUUUUUCCUGAUUCUCCUCAUCUUCUCAAACUCUGUAGGAUUCAUUUACUAGACAAAAGGUUUAUGGUUCCUACAGAGGAUGGAACAUUAGUCCCUCUUGUUAAGACUGAUUUUGAGGGAUUAUUGAUGAAAGAUUCCGGAUAAUUUAAAAUUGUUUUUAAGCUUAAACCACUUCACUUUUACUGCGAAGGAGGAGCGAGACAACAAGUAAGAUUGGCUGCACAAGUUUUGAGUAAUACAGUAGCCAAAGCUUUCACCAUUCAUAGCCAAAGUAAAGAAGCAAGAGCCAAGGAAAACGCAGUAGAAAUAAUCAACAAUUGGUUUGAUGUAGUUAAUAGCAGGCAAGUUUAUGACAAGGUCAAGCUCAGAUGUGCACUGGGUAUCAAUUUUGAAGAUUAAUUGAUUGCCUUGGAGAAAAUGGAAUUGUUUUUGGAUACAUUUAAGAACUAAUCAAGAUUGCCUUGAUUUUUUUUUUUGACCCGUUUGAGAAGUGCUUGUGGUGAUGAUGAUUACCCUGGAGCCGUUGGAGCAAUGAAAAGGAUGAUAAUUCUGGAAAUUGGAAAAAAUUGUGAAACUUUGGUGAGCAAUCUGGCUGCUCAGAUUGAAAAAGAAUAUGACAUUUAUAGAGUUGAGGAUGAAGAGGAAAAAGAAUCCGUAACAAACUAAAUCACUGGAGACAUCUUAGAUAUCACAAUUGGUGAAGAAAGCUGUUCAGAAUUUGAAUUUACGUUUGAUAUCCCUCAUAAAGUUAAUGUGGAUUUUGCAAUAAACCAUCGACUAGAUCAGUUCAAAAAAUGGGAUCUCAACUUUCAGGGGCUCAGUUAUGUAUCGGGUUUUAUUGUACACAAGAUGAAACUUUUAUAUCCGGAUUUGGGGAAGAAGACAAUUGACAUAUAUUUGAAUGAUCAUGAACUGACACCAUGGAUAUAUCAUUUGUCUAGAGGAGGACAGAUGGUGCCAUUUGAUUAUUUUUUUUAAAACUGUGAAGUUUUCGACCAGAAGUUCAAGGAAUUCCAUUUACCUCUUAUUAGAUCGUCAUCCAAAAGUAAUCGAACGUUUUUGUCAAGUUUUUGGAAGACUCCUUUGGAGGCAAGUAUGACGAGGCUGUUUUGAAUCUCUUCACCAAGACAAGGAUAAUGAUACGAAUAAGAUACCUCAAUGCACAAUUAAAAUUUAAUACUGGGGGGAGUGAAAAAA
rnacentral:lncRNA from 1 species